UACGGAAGGCAGCAGUGGGGAAUAUUGCACAAUGGGCGAAAGCCUGAUGCAGCUAUGCCGCGUGUAUGAAGAAGGCCUUAGGGUUGUAAAGUACUUUCAUCGGGGAGGAAAAAACAAAACUAAUAAUUUUAUUUCUUGACGUUACCCGAAAAAGAAGCACCGGCUAACUCCGUGCCAGCAGCCGCGGUAAUACGGAGGGUGCUAGCGUUAAUCAGAAUUACUGGGCGUAAAGAGCACGUAGGUGGUUUUUUUAAAGUCAGAUGUGAAAUCCCUGGGCUUAACCUAGGAACUGCAUUUUGAAACUGAAAUACUAGAGUAUCGUAGAGGGAGGUAGAGUUCUAGGUGUAGCGGUGAAAUGCGUAGAUAUCUGGAGGAAUACCUGUGGCGAAAGCGGCCUCCUAAACGAAUACUGACACUGAGGUGCGAAAGCGUGGGGAGCAAACAGGGAUUAGAUACCCGU
rnacentral:rRNA from 1 species